rnacentral:rRNA from 1 species
UACACGCUGUGACUAGCAUAUCAAUAAGCGGAGGAAAAGAAACUAACAAGGAUUCCCCUAGUAACGGCGAGUGAAGCGGGAAGAGCUCAAAUUUGAAAUCUUAAAGGGUUUCCCUUUACGAAUUGUAGUUUAAAGAAGUGUUUUCUGUUGAGGUUUUGGUAAAAGUUCUUUGGAAUAGGACAUCAUAGAGGGUGAGAAUCCCGUAUUUGACCUUUACUUUCAACUUUGUGAUACACUUUCAAAGAGUCGGAUUGUUUGGGAAUGCAGUCCAAAAUGGGUGGUAAAUUUCAUCUAAAGCUAAAUAUUGGCGAGAGACCGAUAGCGAACAAGUACCGUGAGGGAAAGAUGAAAAGAACUUUGAAAAGAGAGUUAAACAGUACGUGAAAUUGUCAAAAGGGAAGCGUUUGACACCAGUGUUGUUUUUCUGAAAAUCAAUUAAAGAACUGUUUAUGCUAAGCUGUUUAGACUUUAUCAGCUAUCUGUUUAGUUUUGAGCUUUUCUUUAAUGCACUUUUCAGUUAACAAGUCAACAUCAAUUUCUUUUGCUGUAAAAAAGCUUGAGGAAGGUGGCUUGAGAUUCGUCUUAAGUGUUUAUAGCCUCUUGCCUAUGCAGUCGGAGAGAUUGAGGUCUGCAGCGUAGAUCCUUCGGGGCUAAAUGCACUUUGUGCUAAGUUAUAGCAUUUUCAUAGACAACUUGUUGACUAUGAUUUGUCUUGUAGCUUACUCGCUUAUGUUAUUUUACCUACGCUUAGGAUGUUGACGCGCGUGUGUGCGUG